AUCCUUUUCUGGUGCACUGGUAUGACGAUUGGGUCUUCACGCGUUUGUGUGAUACGUGCCUCCCUUAAUCCUUGUUACAAGUCGGCACAUUAUCCGUCUGACA
ensembl:snoRNA